CGGCGUCCCCUCCUCCGCCCACUCAGCCGCCACGUGGCAGCUGAGCGAGGGCCUCGGGGUAACGC
rnacentral:pre_miRNA from 2 species